GAGCGACUAAAAGAAAAGGUAAACUUUUGAACUUCACUUAAAUGCCAAGAACUGGUAACUCGAGAAAUUCAUGCAUAAUUUUGUGCAAAAGGAAAGCGGGUCUUGUACGAUUAUGAGCCUAAAUUUUCUUUCCCCUAUUUUUAAUUCAUUGGAGUUUUAACCUAUUCAUAGCUUUUUCCCUUUUUGUGUAUUAUGUAUAUUUCAGGAGAAACUAUUGGCAGCUGAAA
rnacentral:misc_RNA from 1 species